AAGGGAAUAAUUUAAUUGGUAAAAUAAUGGUCUCCAAAACUAUAAUUCGAGGUUCAAACCCCCGUUUCCUUG
rnacentral:tRNA from 1 species